rnacentral:tRNA from 4 species
GCAGGCGUAGUUCAUCGGUAGAAUACAAGCUUCCCAAGCUUGGGAGGGGGGUUCGAUUCCCCUCGCCUGCU